GAUAGGCAGCUUCGGUUUUGAGUGUUUUUUUUUUUUUUUAAUCAGGGAGGAGGUGUCUGAGCUGUGAAUGAGGGAGGGAAUGAGUAGCAGCUGCAUGCUAUGAUGGUGUUCCCCAGUUGGGAAAGUUGUGAUGAAGAACAGAGCACUGGUCCUUUUUCCUCACCAGACCUGCUGCUAUAUGUAAACCUGAUUGUGGAAACCUGA
rnacentral:lncRNA from 1 species